GUGAGCAGUGCGCAUAGUAUGUACAGCAAGAAAUCAUUACGUCCAAUGUGCUAUACUAUUGAGAGGUGUAAAUGCUUUCUCCCCUUUACCCCUAUCGGGCGUAACAACCACCCUUAGUGCGGAGGCGUGUCACGGAGGGGCCUCGCUUGGCCGGACCAUACUUUAAAUCUAAAUCAAUGUGGUUAAGAUUAAUAAUAGCCAAUAUUUAAUAU